UCCUCCAUUAAUUUUAGCAUUUAUCCUCCUCUCCUCUUUUCUCUCUUUCUCUCUACUCUAGAUCUAGAUCUUGUGUUUUUGUUCAUAGUUGUAUUAAUCCUUGUGUGUAAUUUGCAAUUUGUUGUGUAUGUGAUGGUAGGUUGUUCUCCCUCCUUUGUGCACUCCUAAUUUGUGGAGAGGGAACCUUAUAUACUGUUUUCCUCAAUUAAUGGAGGCGCAUCGAUGGAUGACUGAAGUUGGAUGUACGGGCCUCAGGUGACUUUCACAUUCAUCGGCGGUUUGAUGAAGUUCCUUAAGGCCGCCAAGGUUUUCCGAAAGAAGCAGCACCUCGUAGUCAGGGUUUCAUGCAUGGGUAUACAAGAUGGACUUCCAUGGCGAGGUGGCAGAGGUGGACAUGAAUGCCGGUGAAAGAAGACAUGAACCGUCAUCGCUAACGGAGACCCUGUAUGAAGCUGAUCAAGAAGUUCAUCAUACAUCUCCAAUAUUUUUAUUAUUUCAUGCUAUUAUAUUAUCAAUCUUGGAUGCUUUAUAUGCAUUUUUGUGCCAUUUUAUAUCAUUUUUGUGACUAACCUAUUUACCCACUGCCUAGUGUCAGUUGUUCUUUUCCAGAAAAUCAGUAGCAAAUGUAGUCCAAACGUUACAAACCUUUUUGAUGAUUUUUUUCUAGACAAAAGAGACCCUAGAAGUUCCGGGAGGAGACCAGAGGACGAACGAGGAGACGACAAGGCAACAGGGCGCGCCCUGGGGGUGGGGGCAGUUGCCUUGAGGGACCCUCGAGGCUCCGCCUAACCUAAUUCCACUUCUAUAAAUUCUCAUUAUUGGGAAACCAACACAGAGCCACCUGGUAACCUUUUUCCGCCGCCUCAAACUUCUGUUCUUCUGCGAUCCCAUUUGGAGGCCUUUUUCGGUACUCUGCUGUCGGGGGAAUCGAUCACGGAGGGCUUCUACAUCAUCCUUGCCGCCUUCCGAUGAUGCGUGAGUAGAUUACCAUAGACCUACGGGUCCAUAGCUAGUAGCUAGAUGGCUUCUCUAUCUCUUUGAUCCUCAAUACAAUGUUCUCCUUGAUCUUCUUGGAUUAAUCUUCUUUUGAGGUAUGUUUGUUGGGAUCUGGUGAAUUAUGGGGUUGUGAUCAGAUUAUUCAUUGAAAAUAACUGAGUCUUUUCUGAACUUUAUUAAGCAGUUGAUGCAGGAUCCUGCCGACAGAAGAUAUAUAGUCGUCAUAGAUAAGUUGGUCUGAGACUCAAAGACUCAGCUCUAUCCCGGUUGCGUGAACGAUGAGUCAAACAUUCUAGCUGUGACGCUUGAACUCAUGAGGAUCAAGGCCAUAUACAAUUUCCCGAAUGUAGGUUUCAAUGAGGCGCUCGAGUUCCUUGCAGAAGUUGUCCCAACAGAUAACAAGUUGCCUUAGAGCACUUACGAACCGAGGAAGGUCAUUUGUUCUCUUGGAUUAGAAGUACAGAGGUACAACUCUUGUCCUAACGACUGCAUAAUCUACAAGGACGAGCACAAAUACCUGCACAUAUGCACGAUAUGCCAUAUAUCCGGAUAUCGAUACAAGAAGGGGGCGCGAAGAGUUGAAGUGGAGGAAGAAAAGAAGUGUGGUAGUCCGGCGAAGGUUGUAUGGUACCUUCCUUUCUUUCCCCAUGGGGAGCGUUUCUUCGCCAAUGAAAAGAUCACAAAUCUAUUGGUCUGGCAUGAUCCACCCCCCUCCAUUUGAACAGUAUGAGAUUAGCCAUGUUCUUUUGUUGUUCUUAGUCGUAAUGACCCAUUUGUUUGACAAGAAAAAAAUGUUCUAUGGGGGCUAUAUGGUAUUCACUACAACUACUAUCAAGCACAUGAUUUUGGUUGUUAGGCUGUAGUGGUUGGACCCUUUUGUCAAGUAGUUCCUCUCCAACUACUCCAACGACUACUCAAAAUAGAUCCUCUCCAACUACUCCAAAUAGAUUGAUUUUGGACAAUCCUAGAUUUACUAGUAUUCUCGGGAUGGAGAGAACUAAUAUAUGGCAAAAUUCAAUAGGAUUAUUGAUAUAAUCCCUCUGGUUAUUUUACCUGUCACAUUGGAUUUGUCUUAGGUCAAACUUUAUGACAUUGACC
rnacentral:rRNA from 1 species